rnacentral:tRNA from 5 species
GGGCCUCUGGCGCAACGGUAGCGCGUUUGACUCCAGAUCAAAAGGUUAUCCGUUCAAAUCGGGUGGGGCUCA